AUGUGUUCCCCAGUUCCCAUCUGUGUUCCCCAGGGCCGGGAUGUGUUCCCCAGGGCCGGGAUGUGUUCCCCAGGGCCGGGAUGUGUUCCCCAGGGCCGGGGUGUGUUCCCCAGUUCCCAUCUGUGUUCCCCAGUUCCCAUCUGUGUUCCCCAGGGCCGGGAUGUGUUCCCCCGUUCCCGUCUGUGUUCCCCAGGGCAGGGAUGUGUUCCCCAGGGCCGGGAUGUGUUCCCCAGGGCCGGGAUGUGUUCCCCAGGGCCGGGAUGUGUUCCCCAGGGCCCAUCUGCAUUCCCCAGGGCCGUGAUGUGUUCCCCAGGGCAGGGAUGUGUUCCCCAGUUCCCAUCUGUGUUCCCCAGGGCAGGGAUGUGUUCCCCAGUGCCCAUCUGCAUUCCCCAGGGCAGGGAUGUGUUCCUCAGGGCAGGGAUGUGUACCCUAGGGCCGGGAUGUGUUCCCCAGGGCCGGGAUGUGUUCCCCCGUUCCCGUCUGCAUUCCCCAGGGCCGGGAUGUGUUCCCCAGGGCCGGGAUGCGUUCCCCCGUCCCCGUCUGCGUUCCCCGGGCCCGGGUUGCGUUCCCACCCCGUGCUCGGUGGCACCGGGGCCCGGGGGAUGCUCGGGCUCGGCGCUGCGCCGCUCGCAGCUGCGAUUUCCCGCUGACCGCGCUCCGGCAGCGCUGCCAUCAAUCACGGGGCUCCCGGUUCCGGCGGCGCCGAGCGAGGAGGCGGAGCGGGGCCGCGGGCAGAGCCGGAGCGGAGCGGGCCGGGGCCGGGGCCGGUGCGUGGGGCCGGGCGGGGGGCGGCGGGCCCGGGACGCUCCGCUCCGCUCCGGCCGCAGCUGCUCGGCGGCGGCGGAGGGGCCUCCUUUUGUUCACCAGCUGCGCCUGCCGGCCCCGCUUCCUCCGUGCCUGCCCUUCCCGGAGCCCUCCUCCUCCUCGUCUUCCUCCUCCUCGUCCUGCCGGGUCCGGAGCGGGGCAGGGCGCGGGGCUCGCUCCGCCGGGAGUGCCCCGAGCCCCCGGAGCCGCGGGCUGGCCCAGCCGCUGCGAGCCGCCUUCCUUCCCAUCCGGAGAAUUAAGGCUGCUCUGCAAGUUGACUAA
rnacentral:lncRNA from 1 species